GGCCAUUUGGGUUUCACUAACUUCUCAGAAAUGGACAGUAAGGCCGUCGUGUUGGUAUUUUGCGUCCUGUUGGCAGCUAGUUUUAUGUCAGAAACAGAGGCCGUUUACAGCCAGAACCCGGACAAUAAUGGAAAGAGAUCAUUGAAAUUAGGCAAUGUCCGGAGGAAUAUCAGGAACCUGUGCGCUUCCAUGAACGAUGUUUGCAAAACGGAAAGAGACGAACUGCAGGAUUUUGAUCAGUUAAAGAAGUAAAUGGAUUGCUGGUUGAGUUAAACCGAUUACAACUAUUCAAGGUGUUAAAUGGAUAGAAGAGUGAACUAAGCUGACUAGAACAUUUCAGAGGUGUUGAAACUCUCUUGUAAAAUCAAUAAAAUUGCGUGCAAGAA